CCUACGGUGUGCUGCAGUGGGGAAUAUUGGACAAUGGGCGAAAGCCUGAUCCAGCCAUGCCGCGUGUGUGAAGAAGGCCUUCGGGUUGUAAAGCACUUUCAGUGGGGAAGAAAGCCUUGGGGCUAAUACCCUCGAGGAAGGACAUCACCCACAGAAGAAGCACCGGCUAACUCCGUGCCAGCAGCCGCGGUAAUACGGAGGGUGCGAGCGUUAAUCGGAAUUACUGGGCGUAAAGCGCGCGUAGGCGGUCUGAUAAGCCGGUUGUGAAAGCCCCGGGCUCAACCUGGGAACGGCAGCCGGAACUGUCAGGCUAGAGUGCAGGAGAGGAAGGUAGAAUUCCCGGUGUAGCGGUGAAAUGCGUAGAGAUCGGGAGGAAUACCAGUGGCGAAGGCGGCCUUCUGGACUGACACUGACGCUGAGGUGCGAAAGCGUGGGUAGCAAACAGGAUUAGAUACCCCUGUAGUC
rnacentral:rRNA from 1 species